rnacentral:lncRNA from 7 species
UUGUAACUGAAUCUGUAAAGAGGGUGGUUUGAGCAUUACAACAGGAACAGAGAUGACAUUUAGCCAGCCACAAGCCUGCCAGCUUGAGGAGAUCUAACACUGCCUGUCAGAGGAGGUGAUGGAUUUCAGACAGGAGCUAUGACAGCAUUUCUAACACACUGAGUGGCACCCUGUGAGUGUUCAUCUAACGUGUUCACCAUGUGACCACAGAAACUGGGAUCGAAAUUCUUCUUGUAAGUGCAAUUCCUCUAUUUUGUCACCUCUUAAACUACCGUAUGACCAGAUGGGGAAAAAUAGGAAGAAUCAAAGAAAAUUCCAUAACCAAAGGGUCACUCGUCAGCUGUGGAUUGCAUGUAACUCUGUUGCUCCAGGGAGAAAGGGAUUGCUCCACUGCUUGCUCUGCAGAAUAGACUCACAGACUUUUGAAUCAUUUAUGCGUUUGCUAUCGCGGACAGGGUCCAAAGAAGAAGAGCACUGAAAAGUGAAAAAUGAGUCUUGGGAUCUGUGCCUGGUACUGAUGCAAAUGAAGGUGGAACUAUACAAACAGCAACACAAUUGGGCCAUUCAUCAUUCCUUCAUUAGCAGCUUUUCUUCACAACACCCCCAUCAAAGAAAGAAAACCUCCCUUCUUUUUAUUAAAGAUCAAGAGGAUUGAAAAGAAAGCGUAAUUGGCAGAGGAGACAUGCAGUGACAUGGAGACUGCAUGCUCAGCCUGGCCUCGUUGAAGGAGUGCCUUGUAUUGCACUGAGACACAGCACCUGCACUGCAAGAGCAGCACUGAUGCAACUCACAGUCUGCCAGCACGUCAGCUGAAAAAGAGCUCUGCAGAAGUGGGAUCAUGUGAAAUUAAUACUUCCAAACAAAAAUGCAACAAUACCAACUAGAGUUCUGAAGAUAAGUUCAUUCAACACCAAAUCAAAGCCUGGAAGUAGCAGCAAGCUAACUAGCUGUGUACAGAAGCCCUGCAAAAACGCAUCCAUCCAUCUUGUUGACAGAAGGGGCUCACACACACAAACUGCUUCCGCAUGAGAAUGGGAAGACAGCACAUGUUGCUCUGUACAACAGCAUACAGGGACCAGAAAUUGAUGGCAUGCAGCUGUGGGGGCAAAAUCUCUUCUCAGCCUGCCCAUGGAGACUUGAAAGGCUGACAGAGGAAAACUUCAUUUAAGCAGUGAUAUCAAAGACAUGUGGGCAAAUAAAAUACAGCAGUGUCUCU